CCUACGGGCGGCAGCAGUGAGGAAUAUUGGUCAAUGGUCGGGAGACUGAACCAGCCAAGCCGCGUGAGGGAGGAAGGUACAGAGUAUCGUAAACCUCUUUUGUCAGGGAACAAAGGCGGGGACGUGUCCCCGGAUGAGUGUACCUGAAGAAAAAGCAUCGGCUAACUCCGUGCCGGCAGCCGCGGUAAUACGGAGGAUGCGAGCGUUAUCCGGAUUUAUGGGGUUAAAGGGGUGCGCAGGCGGUCUGUUAAGUCAGCGGUCAAAGCCCGGGGCUCACCCCCGGCCCGCCGUUGAAACUGGCAGUCUCGAGUUGGAGAGAAGUAUGCGGAAUGCGCGGUGUAGCGGUGAAAUGCAUAGAUAUCGCGCAGAACUCCGAUUGCGAAGGCAGCAUGCCGGCUCCACACUGACGCUGAGGCACGAAAGCGUGGGUAUCGAACAGGAUUAGAUACCCUGGUAGUC
rnacentral:rRNA from 1 species